rnacentral:rRNA from 1 species
ACGGAAGUCGUUGUAAUGAAAUGGAAAUGGACAGAGAACUUGUUCGAAGAAAGUUGAAGUAGACUUACAACAAUGGCUUUAGUGGCGGACUGGUGAGUAACGCGUAAGGAACCUGCCUUUUAGAGGGGAAUAACAAUGAGAAAUCAUUGCUAAUACCGCAUAUGCCGAGAGAAUCACAUGGUACAAUCGGGAAAGGAGCAAUUCGCUAAAAGAUGGCCUUGCGUCUGAUUAGAUAGUUGGUGGGGUAACGGCCUGCCAAGUCGACGAUCAGUAGCCGGACUGAGAGGUUGAACGGCCACAUUGGGACUGAGAUACGGCCCAGACUCCUACGGGAGGCAGCAGUCGGGAAUAUUGCGCAAUGGAGGAAACUCUGACGCAGUGACGCCGCGUAUAGGAAGAAGGUUUUCGGAUUGUAAACUAUUGUCGUUAGGGAAGAGAAAGGACAGUACCUAAGGAGGAAGCUCCGGCUAACUACGUGCCAGCAGCCGCGGUAAUACGUAGGGAGCGAGCGUUAUCCGGAAUUAUUGGGUGUAAAGGGUGCGUAGACGGGAAGAUAAGUUAGUUGUGAAAUCCCUCGGCUUAACUGAGGAACUGCAACUAAAACUGUUUUUCUUGAGUGCAGGAGAGGUAAGUGGAAUUCCUAGUGUAGCGGUGAAAUGCGUAGAUAUUAGGAGGAACACCAGUGGCG